rnacentral:rRNA from 1 species
GACGAACGCUGGCGGCGUGCCUAAUGCAUGCAAGUAGAACGCUGAAGAGAGGAGCUUGCUCUUCUUGGAUGAGUUGCGAACGGGUGAGUAACGCGUAGGUAACCUGCCUUGUAGCGGGGGAUAACUAUUGGAAACGAUAGCUAAUACCGCAUAACAAUGGGUGACACAUGUCAUUUAUUUGAAAGGGGCAAUUGCUCCACUACAAGAUGGACCUGCGUUGUAUUAGCUAGUAGGUGAGGUAAUGGCUCACCUAGGCGACGAUACAUAGCCGACCUGAGAGGGUGAUCGGCCACACUGGGACUGAGACACGGCCCAGACUCCUACGGGAGGCAGCAGUAGGGAAUCUUCGGCAAUGGGGGCAACCCUGACCGAGCAACGCCGCGUGAGUGAAGAAGGUUUUCGGAUCGUAAAGCUCUGUUGUAAGUCAAGAACGGGUGUGAGAGUGGAAAGUUCACACUGUGACGGUAGCUUACCAGAAAGGGACGGCUAACUACGUG